rnacentral:rRNA from 1 species
UAUCAGCUAGUUUGUGAGGUAUAGCUCACCAAGGCAUCGCACUGGUAAGUCUGGUCUGAAGAGGACGCAUCAGCCACACUGGGUACCUGAGACGGGGUCCAGACUCAUACGGGAGGCAGCAGUGGGGAAUCUUGCGCAAUGGGCGAAAUGCCUGACGGCAGCAACGCCGCGUGGAGGACGAAGGCUUUCUGAGUUGUAAACUCCUUUCAGCCAGGGACGAUUGUGACGGUCCUGCGAAGAAGCACCGGCCAACUUACGUGCCAGCAGCCGCGGUGAAUACGUAGGGUGCAAAGCGUUGUCCGGAUUUUAUUGGGCGUAAAGAGCUCGUAGGCGGUUUGAUUAGUCGGGUGUGAAACCUCCAGGCUUAACCUGGGAGCCGCCACUCGAUACUGUCAUGACUAG